rnacentral:rRNA from 1 species
UACGUAGGGUGCGAGCGUUAAUCGGAAUUACUGGGCGUAAAGUGUGCGCAGGUGGCCGCGCAAGUCGAGUGUGAAAGCCCCGGGCUUAACUUGGGAAUUGCGCUCGAAACUACGUGGCUAGAGUGUGGCAGAGGAAGGUGGAAUUCCACGUGUAGCGGUGAAAUGCGUAGAGAUGUGGAGGAACACCAAUGGCGAAGGCAGCCUUCUGGGCCAACACUGACGCUCAUGCACGAAAGCGUGGGGAGCAAACAGGAUUAGAUACCCUGGUAGUCCACGCCCUAAACGAUGAUGACUAGUUGUUGGGGGAGUUAAAUCCCUUAGUAACGCAGCUAACGCGUGAAGUCAUCCGCCUGGGGAGUACGGUCGCAAGAUUAAA